UACGUAGGGUGCAAGCGUUAAUCGGAAUUACUGGGCGUAAAGCGUGCGCAGGCGGUGAUGCGAGACAGAUGUGAAAUCCCCGGGCUUAACCUGGGAAUGGCAUUUGGGACUGCAAGGCUCGAGUGCGGCAGAGGAGACUGGAAUUCCUGGUGUAGCAGUGAAAUGCGUAGAUAUCAGGAGGAACACCGAUGGCGAAGGCAGGUCUCUGGGCUGACACUGACGCUCAUGCACGAAAGCGUGGGGAGCAAACAGG
rnacentral:rRNA from 1 species